rnacentral:rRNA from 1 species
AGAGUUUGAUCCUGGCUCAAGAUGAACGCUGGCGGCGUGCUUAACACAUGCAAGUCGAACGGGAAUGCCGCGCUGAUGCGAUUUCGGUCAAAUCAUGUGGCAUUCGAGUGGCGGACGGGUGAGUAACGCGUGGGUAACCUGCCUCACACAGGGGGACAACAGCUGGAAACGGCUGCUAAUACCGCAUAGGCGCACAGAAUCGCAUGAUUCGGUGUGGAAAGCUUUUGCAGUGUGAGAUGGGCCCGCGUCCGAUUAGGUAGUUGGUGGGGUAACGGCUCACCAAGCCGACGAUCGGUAGCCGGCCUGAGAGGGUGGACGGCCACAUUGGGACUGAGACACGGCCCAAACUCCUACGGGAGGCAGCAGUGGGGGAUAUUGCACAAUGGGCGCAAGCCUGAUGCAGCGACGCCGCGUGAGCGAAGAAGUAUUUCGGUAUGUAAAGCUCUAUCAGCAGGGAAGAAAAUGACGGUACCUGACUAAGAAGCUCCGGCUAAAUACGUGCCAGCAGCCGCGGUAAUACGUAUGGAGCAAGCGUUAUCCGGAAUUACUGGGUGUAAAGGGAGCGUAGGCGGCAAGGCAAGUCUGAUGUGAAAACCCAGGGCCCAACCCUGGGACUGCAUUGGAAACUGUAUUGCUUGAGUACCGGAGAGGCAGGCGGAAUUCCUAGUGUAGCGGUGAAAUGCGUAGAUAUUAGGAGGAACACCAGUGGCGAAGGCGGCCUGCUGGACGGUAACUGACGCUGAGGCUCGAAAGCGUGGGGAGCAAACAGGAUUAGAUACCCUGGUAGUCCACGCCGUAAACGA